UACGGAGGGUGCAAGCGUUAUCCGGAUUCACUGGGCUUAAAGGGUGCGUAGGUGGGCAGGUAAGUCAGUGGUGAAAUCUCCGGGCUUAACCCGGAAACUGCCAUUGAUACUAUCAGUCUUGAAUACCGUGGAGGUAAGCGGAAUAUGUCAUGUAGCGGUGAAAUGCUUAGAUAUGACAUAGAACACCAAUUGCGAAGGCAGCUUACUACCCGAAUAUUGACACUGAGGCACGAAAGCGUGGGGAUCAAACAGG
rnacentral:rRNA from 1 species